AGUAGUUCAAUUGGUAGAGCGUCGGUCUCCAAAACCGAAAGUUGCGGGUUCGAGUCCCCCCUG
rnacentral:tRNA from 1 species